UCGACCUUACCAUAGCACUCCGUAAGGUCGAGCGCUGUCAGCUUGCUGGCCGUCGGAUGGAGGCAGUUGCAUCCAACGGCUGAUGUUUUAACGUCACUUGAAAGAGGAAAACUGGUGAUACCGGUUUCAUUGUGACCAAGCGUGUACACGGCCGUUUAAAAGGGUGUUUUUCCCUGGCCGUCCAACCCUCUUUCUCUCCCUAAACUUCUACGAGCAGCCGUCUCCCUCAAUCCCUGCCACCAGACGCCCUGUGCAGCCUCUCUCUCUCUCUCUCAAUGCAACCCUGGCCGUGCAGCCCUCUCUCUCCCUUCUUCAAUCCCUCCUUCAACGAAGCAACCAUAGCAUGGGUCCAGAUCUGGAUCUGGAUUCAACGGUUCUGGCUCGGGAUUAGGACAUGGUUCCAGAUCAGGAAGCAGUUAUAGGUCAGGCUAUGUCAUAUCUUUCCAUAUCAGUGGGUAGGUCCCAUCCAUGAUAGGGUGGGACACUCAAUUCUUUUGUCCUCAUGCUGUUCUCCUAAUGUCAUUUUCCUCGAAAAUCCUAAGCUUGUAUCCUUCCUAUAAUAAAAACCCCUAGGGGAAUUGUUCUUAGUCUGUGAUCUGUGCUAAUUGUGCUAC